rnacentral:rRNA from 1 species
CUACACAUGCAGUCGUACGGGAAAUCUUUUGUUCGCAGAAGAGAGUAAAGUGGCGAACGGGUGAGUAACGCGUGGGUAAUCUGCCUCUGAAUCUGGGAUAACGUCGCGAAAGUGACGCUAAUACCGGAUAAAAUCCGAAAUACCCCGGUGUUUUGGAUCAAAGGAGGCCUCUACAUGUAAGCUUCUGUUUGGAGAUGAGCCCGCGUGCCAUUAGCUUGUUGGCGGGGUAACGGCCCACCAAGGCUGCGAUGGCUAGCUGGUCUGAGAGGAUGACCAGCCACACUGGAACUGAGACACGGUCCAGACUCCUACGGGAGGCAGCAGUGAGGAAUCUUGCGCAAUGGGGGAAACCCUGACGCAGCAACGCCGCGUGAGUGAAGAAGGCCUUCGGGUCGUAAAGCUCUGUCAAGUGGGAAGAACCUGUCCCAUGCCAAUAACAUGGGGCACUGACGGUACCACUGAAGGAAGCACCGGCUAACUCCGUGCCAGCAGCCGCGGUAAUACGGAGGGUGCAAGCGUUAUUCGGAAUUACUGGGCGUAGAGGGCGCGCAGGCGGCUUCUUAAGUCGGGCGUGAAAGCCCGGGGCUAAACUCCGGAAGGGCGUCCGAAACUAAGUGGCUUGAGUACGGGAGAGGGAAGUGGAAUUCCUGGUGUAGAGGUGAAAUUCGUAGAUAUCAGGAGGAACACCGGUGGCGAAGGCGACUUCCUGGACCGAUACUGACGCUGAGGCGCGAAAGCGUGGGGAGCAAACAGGAUUAGAGACCCUGGUAGUCCACGCCGUAAACGAUGAACACUAGGUGUAGCGGGUACUGACUCCUGCUGUGCCGCAGCU